AUUGAACGCUGGCGGCAUGCCUUACACAUGCAAGUCGAGCGCGAAAGGGGGCAACCCCGAGUAGAGCGGCGGACGGGUGAGUAACGCAUCGGAACGUGCCCAGUAGUGGGGGACAACCUCGAGAAAUCGAGGCUAAUACCGCAUACGACCCACGGGUGAAAGCGGGGGACCGCAAGGCCUCGCGCUAUUGGAGCGGCCGAUGUCCGAUUAGCUAGUUGGCGGGGUAAGAGCCCACCAAGGCGACGAUCGGUAGCUGGUCUGAGAGGACGACCAGCCACACUGGGACUGAGACACGGCCCAGACUCCUACGGGAGGCAGCAGUGGGGAAUCUUGCGCAAUGGGCGAAAGCCUGACGCAGCGACGCCGCGUGGGGGACGAAGGCCUUCGGGUUGUAAA
rnacentral:rRNA from 1 species